UGAGGCGGCCACAGCGGCGAGGUACCUCCCGUACCCAUCCCGAACACGGCAGAUAAGCUCGCCUGCGUGUCGGCAACUACUGGAGUGGGCGACCCUCUGGGAACGUCGACUCGCCGCCUUGC
rfam:Natronolimnobius baerhuensis strain CGMCC 1.3597 ZB100000, whole genome shotgun sequence.